CAGGACAAGGGAAGGCAGGAAUUUCCAUUGUAUUUCUAUGUUAAAGGCUCAAGGAGGAACCUUUGAAUGAACUACCAGAGGAGGUAGUUGU